CCAAAGUCCCUCCAAACUCAGCAAUUCAAUCCGAGUCCCUCACAGCGUGAGUAAAACGCACGAAUACCCCUCCAUCCGCGAUCUCACGCGAAACGGUACAUAAAAUGUCGCGACUUUUCCAAAAUUACUGUUUUGCCAUCACCGACCUCUCCUCGAUCAACGCGCAAUCUCCGCAGAUCCGUCCGUCAGAUUUGCGAACGGAUCGCACCAGUGCGAUCAGCAUGACGGAGACAACAAAGCUACGAUUUCGAUUCAUCUCGAUCGACUACAGAUUCACGACAAAAUCCAAUCUUUCUUCCAACAGAAGAAACAACACACAAAUACAUAUAAAACAUGUAUUUCUAGAUUUUCUCGAAAUCCGUGU
rnacentral:lncRNA from 1 species